GUCCACGCCGUAAACGAUGUCUACUAGCCGUUGGGGUCCUUGAGACUUUAGUGGCGCAGCUAACGCACUAAGUAGACCGCCUGGGGAGUACGGUCGCAAGAUUAAAACUCAAAUGAAUUGACGGGGGCCCGCACAAGCGGUGGAGCAUGUGGUUUAAUUCGAAGCAACGCGAAGAACCUUACCUACUCUUGACAUCCAGUGAACUUUGCAGAGAUGCAUUGGUGCCUUCGGGAACACUGAGAC
rnacentral:rRNA from 1 species